AUGAACGCUGGCGGCGUGCCUAAUACAUGCAGGUCGAGCGAACAGACGAGGAGCUUGCUCCUCUGACGUUAGCGGCGGACGGGUGAGUAACACGUGGAUAACCUACCUAUAAGACUGGGAUAACUUCGGGAAACCGGAGCUAAUACCGGAUAAUAUAUUGAACCGCAUGGUUCAAUAGUGAAAGACGGUUUUGCUGUCACUUAUAGAUGGAUCCGCGCCGCAUUAGCUAGUUGGUAAGGUAACGGCUUACCAAGGCAACGAUGCGUAGCCGACCUGAGAGGGUGAUCGGCCACACUGGAACUGAGACACGGUCCAGACUCCUACGGGAGGCAGCAGUAGGGAAUCUUCCGCAAUGGGCGAAAGCCUGACGGAGCAACGCCGCGUGAGUGAUGAAGGUCUUCGGAUCGUAAAACUCUGUUAUUAGGGAAGAACAAAUGUGUAAGUAACUAUGCACGUCUUGACGGUACCUACUCAGAAAGCCACGGCUAACUACGUG
rnacentral:rRNA from 1 species